CCCACACCAUUUAGUGCACAGAAUGGACCCACUCUGGAGGAUGAGUCACGGAUGUGUAAUGAAAGAGCCAGUUGUCUGUAGGACCCUGCUUCAUUUGUUGCAGAAGUUGCAAGAACCAUGGAGGAGCCAUACUUUCAGGUGGAGCAACUGUGGGUUGAGAUGGAGGACACGACCCACAUCCUGUGAAAGGAGUCGGACAGAGAGAGACUGAGGGCAUACUGCCAUGUGAAUGAGGUCGGUGGGAUGGAUGCUGGUGUCUACCAGAGCACCUUGCUGGAAUUGAGAAUGGCCUCAUUGACAGAGAGGGAUAUUUUGGAUGAGGAUGUGCGCAGGAUGUCAAGCAGUUUAUGUUGAUCUUUCACUUCCUUCCACCAAAGGAAUCUGGAGAGAGUCUGCAAUCCAGCGAAACAAAGCCUGGAAGUGUUUGAAGUCAUUGGCUACAGUAGGGAG